GGGGGCUUAGCUCAGCCGGGAGAGCGCCUGCUUUGCACGCAGGAGGUCAGCGGUUCGAUCCCGCUAGUCUCCACCA
rnacentral:tRNA from 3 species